ACGUUAAUAUGCUCAGCGUGUGAAUAUAUAAUAGUUUUAUACACAAUCAGAUAUCUAGGUACUUUUCUUUAUGGUGUGGAACCGAUGGUAAUUUUUCAUCCGAAUGCAUAUGAGAAGGUGACAAGACCAAUACCCCUUUAUAUAGAGUUCAGAUCGACUUCUUAUCACAGUCUGAUUAGGAUUCUAUUUAAUUUAAAUAAAUAGAAAAGAAAUAAGAUAGACUAUAUCAAAUAGUUCUAUAUCUAUUAGGAUUUACCAUAAAUGUUAUAUAUAU
rnacentral:lncRNA from 1 species